rnacentral:rRNA from 1 species
GAUGAACGCUGGCGGCGUGCCUAAUACAUGCAAGUCGAGCGAACAGACGAGGAGCUUGCUCCUCUGACGUUAGCGGCGGACGGGUGAGUAACACGUGGAUAACCUACCUAUAAGACUGGGAUAACUUCGGGAAACCGGAGCUAAUACCGGAUAAUAUAUUGAACCGCAUGGUUCAAUAGUGAAAGACGGUUUUGCUGUCACUUAUAGAUGGAUCCGCGCCGCAUUAGCUAGUUGGUAAGGUAACGGCUUACCAAGGCGACGAUGCGUAGCCGACCUGAGAGGGUGGUCGGCCACACUGGAACUGAGACACGGUCCAGACUCCUACGAGAGGCAGCAGUAGGGAAUCUUCCGCAAUGGGCGAAAGCCUGACGGAGCAACGCCGCGUGAGUGAUGAAAGUCUUCGGAUCGUAAAACUCUGUUAUUAGGGAAGAACAAAUGUGUAAGUAACUAUGCACGUCUUGACGGUACCUAAUCAGAAAGCCACGGCUAACUACGUG